rnacentral:rRNA from 1 species
GUAGGUGGCAAGCGUUAUCCGGAAUUAUUGGGCGUAAAGCGCGCGCAGGCGGUUUCUUAAGUCUGAUGUGAAAGCCCACGGCUCAACCGUGGAGGGUCAUUGGAAACUGGGGAACUUGAGUGCAGAAGAGAAAAGCGGAAUUCCACGUGUAGCGGUGAAAUGCGUAGAGAUGUGGAGGAACACCAGUGGCGAAGGCGGCUUUUUGGUCUGUAACUGACGCUGAGGCGCGAAAGCGUGGGGAGCAAACAGGGAUUAGAUACCCUGGUAGUCCACGCCGUAAACGAUGAGUGCUAAGUGUUAGAGGGUUUCCGCCCCUUUAGUGCUGCGGCUAACGCAUUAAGCACUCCGCCUGGGGAGUACGGUCGCAAGACUG